ensembl:lncRNA
AUGUUAGUGUAUAUUAUGUAUAUUAAUUUUGUUCUCUUUUUUUUUGAGAUGGGUUCAAGUGAUUCUCCUGCCUCAGCCUCCCGAGUAGCUGGAACUACAGAAUGGUAUUCUUUUUUUUUUGAGAUGGAGUUUCGCUCUUGUUACCCAGGCUGGAGUGCAAUGGUGCGGUCUCGGCUCACCACAACCUCUGUCUCCUGGGUUCAACAAUUCUCCUGCCUCAGCCUCCCAGGUAACUGGGACUACAGGAACAUACCACCAUGCCCAGUUUCACUCUUGUUGCCCGGGUUGGAGUGCGAUGACACGAUCUCAGCUCACUGCAACCUCCACCUCCUGGGUUCAAGUGAUUCUCCUGCCUCCCAAGUAGCUGCCUCUUGAUUUUCUACCUGCAACAAGUAAGCUUGGGAGGAAUGAGGAAGAACGACAGCUAGAGGCUCUUGAGGCCCAGCCAAGUGUCCUGGCUAUCCUUUCAUGCAUUGCAUUGUUACAGCAAUAGCUGCAUUAACUCAGUUAGCAGCAUGUGAUGUAAAAAGGCAUCAUACCAAUAUUGUUAUACCAGUAAUACUUCUUGUAUUUAAUUAUUAACCAGCAGAGAUGCUACAGUUUUUAUAUUGAUUUUAAGUGGGAAGUCAUGGUGACAUAUAAAACUCCUUUUCAGGCCACAUACAGUGGCUCACGCCUGUAAUCCCAGCACUUUGGGAGGCCGAGGCAGGCAGAUCACCUGAGGCAGGAGUUCAAGACCAGCCUGGCCAACAUGGAAACCCUGUCUCUACUAAAAAAAAAUUAGUUGGGCAUGGUGGUGGGCACCUGUAAUCUCAGCUACUCGGGAGGCUAAGGCAGGAGAAUCCCUUGAACCUGGGAGGCGGAGGCAGAGGUUUCAGUGAGCUGCAUUCCACUGUGGGCCACAAAGCGAGACUCUGUCUCAAAAAAACAAACAGCAACAACAAAACAGCCAGGCACAGUGUCUCAUGCCUGUAAUCCCAGCACUUUAGAAGGCCAAGGCAUGUAGAUCAGCUGAGGUCGGGAGUUCGAGACCAGCCUGACCAACAUGGAGAAACCCUGUCUCUAUUAAAAAUACAAAAUUAGCCAGGCAUGGUCGUGCAUGCCUGUAAUCCCAGCUACUUGGGAGGCUGAGGCAGAAGAAUCACUUGAACCUGAGAGGCGGAGACUGCGGUGAGCUGAUCGUGUCAUUGCACUCCAGCCUGGGCAACAAGAGCAAAACUCCAUCUCAAAAAACAAACAAACAGUCCGGGCGCGGUGGCUCAAGCCUGUAAUCCCAGCACUUUGGGAGGAUGAGGCCAGUGGAUCACGAGGUCAAGAGAUCGAGACCAUCCUGGUCAACAUGGUGAAACCUCGUCUCUACUAAAAAUGCAAAAAAUUAGCUGGAUAUGGUGGUGCGUGCCUGUAGUCCCAGCUACUCAGGAGGCUGAGGCAGGAGAAUUGCCUGAACCCAGGAGGCGGAGGUUGUGGUGAGCCGAGAUGGCGCCAUUGCACUCCAGCCUGGGUAACAAGAGCGAAACUCUGUUUAAAAAAAAAAGAAAAACCAGAAAAACAAAA